rnacentral:rRNA from 1 species
AGCGAACGUUAGCGGCAGGCUUAACACAUGCAAGUCGAGCGCGAACGCGUCCUUCGGGGCGCAAGUAGAGCGGCGGACGGGUGAGUACAAAGUGGAUAAUCUGCCCUCCAAUGGGGGACAACCACUCGAAAGGGUGGCUAAUACCGCAUACGUCGUUUCUGUCUGCGGACGGAAACGGGAAAGCUGGGGAUCUUCGGACCUGGCGUUGGAGGAGGAGUCCGCUUCGCAUCAGCUUGAUGGUGAGGUAAUGGCUCACCAUGGCUUAGACGCGUAGCUGGUCUGAGAGGAUGAUCAGCCACACUGGGACUGAGACACGGCCCAG